GUGCUUAGUUCGGCAAUUCAUAUGCUGAAAUUGGAACAAUACAGAGAUUAGUAGGGCCCUGUCCAAGUUUGAUGCACAAAUUUGUGAAAUGUUCCAUAUAUUU